UGACGGGUGCUCUGGAGGGGUGGGGUUGCCGUCAGCCAAUCAACGCAAAGCGGGUACGAGACCCCGCCCCCGCGAGGGGCGUAGCCGGGGCGGCAGUGGGCGGUACCGCACCUGUCAGGUUUUAGGGCCGCGCUCCCGGCGGCGCCUCGGGUUGGGCUGCGCUCAUGGACGGGAGCGUCCGGGGCGUUCUGCCUUUGUCCUCUCGAGAGCGGGCGGCUCCGGCCCCCUCAGGCCGCCGCCGAGGUGAUCACGGGUGUCCGGCCUGGGCGGCUGCAGCUGCUGGGCCCCGGGAGCUGGGAACUUGUGGGAGCACCGGCGGCGUGUUCUGGAGUGUUUGGUUUUUGGAGCACAAGUGUGAUGAGGAGCGGCUGAGGGAACUGGGGCUGUUUAUCCAGGAGAAAAGGAGGCUGAGGGGAGACCUUAUUGCUCUCUACAACUACCUGAAAGGAGGUUGUAGCACGGAGGGUGUUGGGCUCUUCUCCCCAGUGGCAAGUGACAGGAUGAGACAAAAUGACCUCAGUUUGUGUCAGUGGAGGUUUAGGUUGAAUAUUAGGAAAAAAUUCUUCACGUAAAGGGUUUUCAGGCAUUGGAACAGGCUGCCCAGGGAAGUGGUGGAGUCACCAUCCCUGGAGGUGUUUAAAAGGUGCUUAGACAAUGUUCUUAGGAACGUGGUUUAGUGCUAGUUAGGGUAGGUUAUGGUUGGACUCAACAAUCCUGAGGGUCUCUUCCAAACGAAAUUAUUCUGUGAUUCUAUGAUAGACAUAAGGUUGUGACAGCAGCAGUUUUGUGUUCCAGAACUUAAUCUUUGUGUCCCUGUGUUAUCAAAUUAUUUCCUUCUGUGGCACCAUCUUCUGGAAGCAUCUGAAAUCUAUCAUUUGUCUCAUGAGAUAGGCUUUCAUUAAAUGAAAUCAGCAUCGUGAAUGAGGGGCAUGUGAUGCACCGCUACUUUUGUGGUGAACUUAAUCUUCUCCAGAAGUCUGGCAGCCUGAAGGUUCGGUGUGGCAGGGUUUUGCUGUGCUUACAGCUUGGCCUGUGGGCAAUGAGUGCUAAUUUGGCUUCUGUGCACACCUUGAGUCACAGGCAGUUGCAAACUGAGAGUUUCUUUGUGGUAAUCCAGAGCAUCCUGCUAUUGUCAGGGUCUGACAGUGCAAAUGCAUAAUUUGAGUUCAUCCUGUGAAAUGCCUGCUGUUGGUUAAGGUUAAACAUAAGGAUUAUCUGUUGGUACUGUUUAAUCGUUAAUCAUCCACACCAGUUAGGAGCAUUGCCUGUUAGGAGUCCCACAUACAGUUUUGCAUAUAUAUUUGCUAUUAAAAUGUCUGUGGUUAUGCAGCAAGUGAAAACUACUAAAAAUAUACUUUACUUAUAAACUGGGGGAAGAUCUAAUCAUAUGGGAUGUUUCAGAAAGUAAAACACCCAUAUGAAAAGAUGUAUAAUAUGGUUUCUUUACCUACUUAUAAUGCCUUCUACUUGGUUUUUAGAAUUUGAGUUUGGUGGCAGCAAAAUGGAUCCUUGAGCCUCCGUGGGUUUAUUCCCUUCUUAACAGACAUGUCCUACACAGGGUAACCACUGCUUGGUAAUGAGGAAAGCCCCUGCAAGCCCUGUGUGUCCCUUUACUCGUGAGAGCAGGGCUAUGAACCUGAAGUGUAAGUGCUUGCUGCACCAGUUCUUUUCUGUGCUUGUUGCCCUGUAGGCAGGUUUUCUUCUUGGUGAGACUUCAAUUCUACAAGCGCUGUCUCUGCUGUCCUCUCAUCAAGAGAAGCAGCUGGGUGCCUCAUACGUGAUACCCUGAGUUGAUGUUCUGACUCUGUGUUAGGAACAUUAACUGGAGAGGUUGUGUUAUUUGCUUAGUAAGUAGGAAAUAUAUGGUAUUUUGUAAAUGUUACAGGAAGAAUUGUGAAAUCCCUGUAGCUUUCAAGACUAGGCAGCAUUAAUGAGCUGGAACAUGUGCUGUGUAAUUUAUGGUAGAAAAGAAUUUGCUGAUCAGGUUUCUAUUUAUUUCUGAGAAAGCUAAACUGGAAGUUUUGUUUGAUUACAAAUCUGCCUGUAAUGCAGCAGAAGACCCAGAAGAUGGGAUGUACGUAUUCUUUUAGAGUGGAAUGCUGUGAAUCAUGGCUAGGUUUGUGUGGAGGGAGUCCUCACCUGUUGAAAUUUGUGGGAUCUGGCUUGUAUUAUAACUGCUCUGGAGCCUUCCCUGCACAUAUCUGUGCAGAUGUGCUAUAGCUCUUCUUGUCCAGGUCCUUCAGCAAUUUUCCAGAAGAAAUAGGUAUGCCUGGCAAGCUCCUUUACUAAGAUAUUUUAUAUCUUUCUCUUUUACCCUUUUUCCCAAUAUUAAUACAUGCUACAAUCCCAGAGGAGCACUUUUUUGUGACAGGUCAUGCGUGGAGAUAACACCAUUGUAUAACUAGUCCUUGCUCCACUGACGCUCUUGAAUCAAAUUUUUGAAAAGUCAUUCAAUAUCGGCUGAAAGCCACAGAAAUGAAAGGUUUGUACCCUGGAGCUCUGAGGCGGCUGUGAAAAAUAUACAAAUUUAGCUCCUUUUUCAGUUGAUCAAUUUAAGUCAUGAUGCUUAAAGGUAAGCUGUGAAACUUUGCUGCUGCAAGCUGUUGAAACAAAACCUAGGUGCUGUCUCUGUCCUGUUUUAGCUCACAAAAUCAAAGAUGGAGUAUUGUUUACCUUGUGAAAAAGAUGCACAGGAGGAUGACAUGAAUAAAAUUACAGUUACAAAUGAAGCUUUUGCUGUUUUUCUUUUAACACAGGAGCAUGGGGACAUUCCGUGAAAAGGGAAGUAAAAUCAGAAUAGCGUAAGGCCUUUCCUUUAAAGGAAGAAACUUGUUUGUGCCUUAGGCUUUUGGUCCAUCUUUUGCUAUAGUCUCUAGACUUUUGCCAAGGCUGCUUUGCUUAUCAGACUUUCUGACGUAUUGGGUAAUCCAGCUGUACAAUUUACUGUCAUAGGAAGCAACUGCGGCAAAAUGAGGCCACUCACCCUAGCAGGGUUCAAAGAAAGACUGGGCAUUUUCAUGGGACACAAAACUAUGUGCAGUUAAUGCAAACAAAGUGUCCCAGAAGGAAAAGACUUCCUGCACUGGACUUGAAGCUGAGCUCUGACUUUUAGACACUGAGACAAAUAAUUCGUGGACACUGGCAGUUCUACAUCUGGUCUGUUAGGGAUUGGUAUCUUCAUCUGCAGUGUGGUAUUGGCAGCAGCUAAAGACAGUACUAUCCUAUAGGCUACACUAUAGUUCAAUCUAUUCAAUUUUUUCCAGAUUUUUAAGACAACUUGCAUAUAUGCAAGUUUGUUUAUCAUGGCUUGUUCCUGGAAUAGCACUGGGGUUAUGCUUCAAGACGAGUAGAUUUCUAGGAGUGAAUGAAAAAAGCACAAUACCUUGAGCUUAUUCUGCUUUUUUUUUCAUGUCAUUGUUGUGAGUUUUGUGUAUUUAUUUUCUUUUUGAGGAUAAAAUAAACAAAAAAACAAGACCUUAUUCUGUUGUUUAAUGAACAAAACCUUCAUAUGCUGAUCAUUAUUUCAGCACAGAUGUCUGUAACUCAAACUCUAUGAAUCUGCCCAUGCAGCUCUGUUUUUGAAUUGCUGAGAACAACUGUGUGGGUGGAUUUAGAACAUGAAAUUGCUGUAUGUGCUUAUGUUUUGUUUAUGCAGUACUCAUUUUUAAGAGUACUAGACUGGAUUUGCUUAAUAUUUGCUUUGUGUGUCUCUGUGUGCGUAUACAUAAUAUAUACAAACCCCCAAACUAGAAGAUGAUCGCUAAGCAUGAGCUCUAUUAAUGCAAGAGUUUGUGAUGCUGUAAACAUGUUGCAUUUGAAUCAUGUUAUCAACUGAAAGAAAUAAAGUCAGUCUAUGCACAGAAUAAGGUGGUAGUUGCUUCUAAAACUUGUGCCUGAAUUUGUUGGUGCUUUGUUGCCCCUGUGUACUGAUACAGCACAGGUGACUCUUGGAAACAGACUGCUAUUGUCCACUAAGAGAUUUCUCUUUGACAGACUUAACAAUACUGAAAAUUAAUAAAAAUAGUUUUUAAUUAUAAAACUGUUCAUGCAGUUACAGUAUUAAUAUAAAUUGAAGCAAAGUUUUUACUAUAUGUCUUUCUCGUAACAAAAUUGUUGCCUCUUCAAUCCCAUCUCCCUCAGAAAAAAGAGGCAGCCAUUUAUGUCUUCUUUAUGAAUUUAGAAAUAAUGCCACAUUUCACUUCUGUUGAAUGGGCACUUUGUCUUGACAUAAGGCUUUUACAUGUGAAAUACUUGAUAGCAAUAGUUACUUAAUAGCAAUUUUGGCAAUAAGGCCAUUGUGUUAACUGUAGUAUGAUGGGCAUCAGGAAUCUUUUUAAAGACGUUGAUUUUUAUUAGGGGUAUCUACCUCUUGUAUAGUUUUAUUUCCAGGUUCUCAGGCAGAACUUGUACGAGAAAGUAAUAGAAAAUUUGACGAUCUAAUUACUAUAAAGCCUAAUGAUUGCAUAAUGCUUCUGGGCCAAUAAGUUUUGCUUCUUAUAGGCAGUUUAUCUGCAGUUACAUGUUACCGGUAUAAAAGCAGAACGGAAACUGUGAAAGUAACAGUUUAUUUUAGGUUAGCAAUGAAGUAUACUUUUAUUCUCCAGUCUCCAGAUGUAGAAAACAUUAUAAGAGCCUACAGUAAAUUUUGCUUUCACUACGUUUCAGCUUUGUUGUCUUUGCUUUUUUUCCUGCUUUUAUUUUCAGAAUUGCAGAAGUGAAGGUAGAUUUUUCAUCUAAUUUAGACAUCAGUGUUGGCUGUCAGUAAAAUAAUUACAUAAAAGCCCUAUUUAUUCUACUUUUGAGAAAGUAAUCUUGCUAUCUCUAUGGCUUGUAACACUUCCCACUUUUGAAAUGCUGUACUGGAAGGCUGGAUACUUUGCCUCUUGCUGUUGACUUUGGUAGGGUCAACCACAGCUCGAAGUCUCUGUCUGCUUUCUGCUGUGACAUUUUUUUUUUCUCUCAAUGGCAUUACCUUAUUCUUCCUGAACUUUUGCUUUAAGCAUUAUACAGCUAGCGAAAUAGGUUUCCAAAUAAAGUGAGCAUUAUCUCUGGACAUCUAGAGGUAAAAUGUGUCUGCAAGGUUGUCUGUUUUCACACUGCUACCAAAGUCUUCCUUUACCACCUCCUUCUUGCUCUCUAGGCUGUAAGUGUAAUGUUUAUUUUUCUCAGAUCUAUCGUAGCUACUGGGAGGAUGAUGCAUUGUCCUUCUAUUUAAUUUCUUCUUGGCAGCCUUUUCAUAUGCAAAUCCACAGACUGGAGUCCAGAGGCAACCACAUUCUCAGUCCAGUAUUGUAACAAACUUCCCUGAAUAAGGCAAGAUUUAUAGACAAAAAACCCCUCCUCUGCGCCUGUGUUAGAGGAAAUGUUAUGUACAUUUGUAUAGUGUGAAGCAGAGAGUAUUGUGAUGGGGUGAGGCAAGAUCCCAUGCACGGUUUCUCAGUAUUAAUAACUAAAACACAGUUGUCUUGGAAAUGCACGGGGCAAUUUAUGCAGGUGGCUUGACUUGAAUACCUAAUUAUUUUGCUUUCUUGGUCCAACGCCCACUUGUUAGUCAUUCGUACUUAAUUUUAGUUAUUUUCAGUUACGUUUCAGAACUUAGGCUUAAUUUACCCUUUCCCAACAGCGACACUGACCCGCGUUUACUCUAACAGCUCCUUGGCAGAGACAAUAAUCAAUGAACAUGCAGGAUUGCCAACACCAGCUGUUCAAAAAUCAUGAGCUUGGCUUUAAUAAUUGGUCGAUUUAUUCAUGUUUUAGCACUUGAUCAUGUUUUACCACUUCUCCCUCAUGCCUCAGGGAUAUAAGGAACAUGAAGAGAUGAAAACCUUGUUUCAUAUGAUGGGUUUUUUUAACAACUAUCAUAGGUAAUACAUUUCAAAUGUUGUCAACUUCUGGGUUGUGAUUUCCUGAAGGAGAUAUUGAGUCUUGAGGGUGGAGCUCUAAUUGAUCGCUGAGGCGAUCCUCUUUGACAGAGUGCAUUGAAUCCAUGCUGUUCAGGACAAAGAAACAAGAAUAACAGCAAUUCUUCCACCAGGAUCACUGUUUGCUAACGAGUCUUAAGGUGGUGCCAUCAAGUAGCAGUACUUUACAUCUAAGCAUCUUUGUGACAGGACUGGACAUGUCUUGUAAAAUCUUUUGUUUCUGUUUUUAGCUAAGGAUAUUGUCUAGGAAGCAGAGCCAGAUUCAUCUCCUGGUUUGUUCCUGGACAGAGUUUUCUAUGGGUAGGAAACUACUGCAACCUUUGCUGAGUCUCUAGCCUGAGCACAUCAGAAACUAGGACCGUGCAGUGAAGAAUUUUCCUCUAGAUGUACUCAACUAAGAAGCUUUUAAUCAGAAAUGUGCUUUUGAAGUGAACUUCCAAGUUCUACCUGUGCUUUAGUUGGUAUCACUGAGCAGGCUUGGAGCUCACAGGUGUGAUACCUUUUUGGAUGAAGCUGGACUUUCUGGUGGACUGUAAGAUGCACUUAAAGAACAAACCUAAUAUGCUCCAGUUGCUAAUGAGUGUUCAGACAAUAGGACCAGACUAGAACUAGUCUGAAGUAACUCCCCCUCUGAAAUGUGUUGGGUGUGGGUGUCUGGUCCUCAGUGUCAGCUGUUUCAUUCUGCACAUCACUCCUCUUGUCUCUGCUGCUUCCCACAGUAGCCACAACCUGGUAAUUUGUGGAAGACAGGAUGUGAGGAUGGAUUUUCUAGAUCCUAAUGCCUGCCUAGAAUCGCAUUCACAGCUACUCCCUCUAAGCCCUUCUUCCAGGCACUGCCAUGGGAAAAAGCCAUUCAGAGCUGACUGAACUAUCUCCAUACUCAAGCAGAAGGUCCAGCUUUGCCCAGAUUUUGUCAUCAGGCUGUACUCUAAGGGGUUUCUAUUUGACUGAUUUAUUUUUUUUUCAUUUUUUUUGAAGACAUGCUUCAAUAUAGCAAUACUAAUGUCAACUGUGGUUACUAGAGAAAUCUUUCUCAUAGAAAAUAUUCAUGUUUUAUGAAUAAUUUAGCUCAUCAAAGGUAACAUAAUAAAAAUAGAUUGCUGCUAUGAGAUCAGUGUCUCCUGCAUUGAAAAUAAUGCAUAGUUUUUACUACAUUUAUUUUUGAGGAUCAUGUUCAGCCAGCAGUAGGAACCAUUACCCUGUGGUACCUUUACAACUGACAGUCUCCUAAUUAUCUUUCCUGGAGAAUCCUAUAAGCUCACUGGCAUUCUAUAAGCAUGUAACUAUUCAGGUUUAGUCUCUUUGUAUGGUAGGGUAGCUUAAAUCUGUUUCAGGAAGUCUUGCAGUUUUUUUGAUGUAUUUCUUCUUUGUCUUGCCACAUUAUAAAUGACGGUUUGGGUUUUUUUUUUUCUUUUUUAAAAUUCUGUCAGCUCUUCUUACUGUCUGUGCCUUCUUACUGCCAUCAGAAUAGGGACACUGUAGAACUGGGAGAUUAAAGAACUUACCUGCUUCCUUAUCACAGCAUUUCCCUGCACAGGAGAAAGAAGUUCAGAAGAUUCGGUGACAGUGUGGGAAGAUACUGAUGAAGCCCAGAGGGAGGGGGAGAGGGAAGCUCAGUAGCAGCUCUGCAGAAAAGAAGGACUGAGGUGUGCUGGAGUGCAUAGAGUAACAGCAGGGAAAGCUGAUGGGGACUGCUCCUGUGCCAAGUCAGUCCACGCAUGGAAGGGUGAGAUAGAUGGAGAAGUAGGGAGCCCUCCAAGCUGUGCUGCCUGCAACAUCUGCCUCUGUGCUGGGCAGGAGCCUAACAGAGCCCAGGGUUAGAUCAGGGCUCUUCAUGCUGCGCUUUGCAUCUCUAUUUAUAGAGGUGACCUGUGUGAGUGCAUGGAUGUGUACGUGGAUGGAAGCAGAGUGAUUCUGUUGCUGACUGCACUUCUGAGCAAAAAUCAUUGUUGAAAACAUGUCUUUUGACAAUAUCCUACCUCCUAAACAUUUUUCACAGUAAAUUUUGCUGAACUGGAUCUGGCUCCCUUGUCAGGUUUUCUGAUGCCAGUUUUAACUGAGAGUUUCAUUUGGCUCAAUAUAGAGGAGCCUGGGCUUUUUAAUGGGAAAAUCUGAGUUCUGUUUUCUGAGGGAGUAUCAGAGCCUGCAGUACCAUUGGUGAUGCAGGCAUGUUCAUUUAGGAGUGCUAUAUCCGAUUCUGCAGCCUGAGGGGACUGAAAAAGGGUGGUGAGGAGGUGUGGAAAUGGAGAUUUGGCACCAAGAUUUUACUUGCUUUUUACUUUGCAUACUCUUGAUUGUUUGCUUUCCCCAAUAUAGUUCUCUUUUUCAGAUUCUGCAGUGUGGCGCUGAUGUGAUUAUGGUUUCCUGAAGGAUUCCCUGUCUUCUCUAGACUACAGUAUUUGUUGCUCAUCGUUCAAAGGCAGAAUGAAAACUUGCUUCUAUGCAUCCUCGGAAUUGCUGGAGGCAUGGCUUUGACCCCAUUAAAUUGCUUGUCCUAAAUCCAGUUGCCACCAAACAGACGGUAUCAGAUUGAUAUAAUUUGAACCCACAAACUCAAGCUUCUUAGCAGCAGCUAAACACUUGCCUCAUAGUGUAGAGAUUACACUAAAAUAAUGGGAACCAAAUUACUCCAAGUUCUUUCCUUGCUUCCACUAGAUUAUUGAAUUAUAUCAACAUGUUUAUAGUGCUUCAGGGAGAAAUGAAUUAGGAGUGAGAUCUACACGCUUGCUUUACAGGGAAGUUUUAUGGGUAGAGACAAGGGAAGCAUUCUCCAAAUGCUAUUAAAAAGAUUUUACUUAAGAUCCCAUAUAUUUUCAGUGUAAUCUAAGAGCUGACCUUGAUUCACACAUAAACCGAUUUGAACUUUGGAACAAUACCUACGUGUGUUCCCUUUUGGGUGAUUGCAGUCUUAAAGCUUAAAAAACUUUCUUAAAGCUAGUUAAAAAAAUCAUAAAAUAUGAUUUGUACAUUUGAUAGAUGAGGAGGAAAUGAAAGACCUAGUGGAGAAUUUAUGGUUUAUUUAUGGCUACUGGUAAAUAACUGCAGGUUUCUACAAUGGACUUAGCCAAUCUUCCCUCUGAACUGUGACAUUCAAGUUGAACAUCCUUUGAUUCAGGAGACCUGUUUCUCUCCUCUGAGAAGUGAAAAUGCCUGAUCAAGUACUAUAGUGAAAGUUUUCUUGCUCUAGUCUCCGAGACAAUGGGUGGUGAUUUAGCUGAACUUUGUUUUAUGCUCUUUUGAAAAGCAAAGUAGUACAUAUUGUUUGUAGUAUAUCCUGGUUUAAAACAGUAGGAGAAAAUGGAUAAAGAUGUUGCUUGAGAGCCCAGGUUAGGGAGCUGGAGGCAGCAACAUUUGCUGCAUGUGUUGUCAUUAGCCUGAGAACACCAGGAGUUGGCUGACAUGGUGCUGACCCCAACUUUAGUCUGUGCAAGCAGCAAAAGGUUGUGCUUAGUGUAGCAGCUACCAUGAUGAAAGGUGAGCGGAGGGACCCUCCAUGCUGAGCUGGCACACUACCAUAGAAAUUUUCAGUGGUCAUCUCUGAAAGGAAAGGAUGUAACUUUUGGGGAGGUUUUAAAUCAAAGCCCUCUGUCUGUUUCUGUGCAUAUUUAGAGUUGUAGCCUGGAGAAUCCAGUCCCUGGGUUCCCAUGGUGUGGAUGCCUUGUGCUUUUUGGUAGUCGUUAGCGCCCAACAGAAAGGGAAGCGACUGCUGAGUGGCAUGAGGUGGUGCCAGGUUCUCUUUUAUUCUGCUGACCUGAGAGACUGCAUCUGCAAGCAGACACAUUCAGAAAACAUUUAGAGGGAAGUAGUAAAUCACAGAUGCUGGCAAUAGUUGUUGUCACAAUGUGUAACCCAAAGAAGUGGGUGAAAGUUUUUAGCAAAGUGGGCAGGUAUCAGUUGGGAUUGGUGGACUGGGGAACUGCUUUUUAGCACAGUUCCUUGACGGGCAGGAUGCUCUAUUUGUAUAAGUGUGUGCCUAUAAAAAUGACAGUAGGACAGAGAAGAAUGGUCAGAAUGGGAUGGCAGACAGUGGACUGUCACUGCAAUUUCAGAAAUACUUGGUGCCAGUGCAGAGGCCUGCCAGUGUGGCUAGCAGCAGAAAGAAAAUGGGGCAGCUAGAAAAAGGGUACAAACCCUUUUCCUCCAUGAGGAGGAAAAGAGUUGGGUGAUGAAAGUCUGGCAAAGGAAGCAAGCAGAGUAUGGCAGGACAGUAACAGUGAUGUAGAAGAGGGCUGAAAAGCACAGCAAAGUCCUGUUGUGUCUAGUGUCUGAGAGUCAUCUGCAUUGCAUGAUCUUAGCUUUUGGUGACUCACUUAGCAAGGACUUCAUUACUAGCUCAGAGCCUUUGCGUUGUUGGAUUUACUAUUUUGAACCUCUCCCUAUCCCUCCACCCCAUUUUCUUUUUCCAUUAAAAAGUCUUCCACCUGCUCUGCAGUGUUCUUUCAGUUGACAUGACAGUCCUGGACUCUGAGUAGGGAUAAAUCUCCAAAGCAGGGAACAAAAAAAGUAGCAAUUCCCCUUAUGGAUCUUAAAAUGGGAUCUUUAAUACUAGAGUGAAAGCCUACCAGUUUCUGAGGUUGUUGGUUGCUUCUAGCAUGACUCUAUUACAUGCUGGUGGAAGUGGACCAGCCAGUGGAAAUGUACUGUCCAAGCCGGUCCAGUUUGGUUUACAGUUUCUUGGUAGAAACACCAAUUUAGGGUAAUCAACCAAUAAGUGAAGAAGUACAAAUCUGUAUCUCCAUGUUGGGAGGACUAGGUGGCCAAAGGUAGAUGGGUGAUCUCUAUUGCAGAGUUGUGAGUGGAUUUGAACGGUACCAGAGUAAGGCUGUAGAUGAAGGGUGGGAUGUGGAUGAUUUAGGCUAUUUUGUGUUGCUUUGUAAAAGCUUAGCUUUUCAUGACUGUUUCUUCCCAAAAUAUAUGACAUUUAUUGUGGGGGAAGAAAGAACUUCUUAUCCUACACUGAGACAGAGAAAUAUAUUGAUGUUUGUUCUUAGCUAUCUAAUCUGGAGUUGAACUGCAUUUCAAAUGUGAAUGGGACAGUCUAUAUGAAGAGAAGGCAAAGGUAACAGCAGCCUCAGUUCCUGGAAGUUAAUGUUUAACCUUGGAGCUCCUCGAGUGAGGAUCAGGUGAAAGGAGAAAAGUCUAAGAAAACAAGAUAGAGAUGCUGAAGAUGGAGUCUGCUAUAAAGAGCGAAGCAAUGAGCUUCAUGGUUGCUGGUCCUGUUGAGGGUAACCUGGCAUUUACAUCCAAGACUUUGUCUUCCAUAAGCCAGAUGACAAACAGAUUUUCUAAAACAAAGCAAAAUUCAUCUUAGCUGGCUUUUAUUCAUUGCUGGUUGCCUGACUCCCUUGAAGAAGAUUUCUGGAGACCAAAAAGCUGCUAUAGGCUUAGUUUGUCUCAAACGACCCAACAGGUACAGCCUAAAGACACUGCACGCAAAGGCGGGGGUACUCAAGGAAUCCAUAUAAAUUUGAGGGCUAUAAGCAAGAAUCUCUGAUAGGAAUCCACACUUCUAGAUUUGUUUUUGUGUUUUUUUUUUUUAAUUUAAAUAAUUAAUUUUGUUACUGAUGCUUUUCAGUGGGCCUCUGCAUGACUAUACUUAGUGUAUACAUUGUUGGGAUUGUUUUUCUCUUUUAUUCUUAUAUGGCAUCUACAUAAGAGCAUCCUUAUAUAACGUCAAGAAUUCAAGAUGCUAUUCUAAUAAAUGGAUCCAAUUUUACUCGUUCAUAGCAUCCCAUCAAAUGACAUCAAACUCAAAUGUUAAACCCUAACAACAAAAGUCAUGGUUAGAGGCUGUGCCAUCUUGGCACAGCCAGUACAGCUGACAAGGCCUUUAACAAUGUAGGAAGACUGUCUUCUAAGUGCUGUGUUAUCUGGGAGCCUCUCUAAAUUGAAGAGAAAAAAAAUACGUAUUUGAACACUUAGUAUUUAAAAGUACCUCAGACUCAACAGAUAAGCUACACUCAUGCUACAGUGAAAUGUCGUGAUGUUUGAUUGUACUGUUGUCUGCAUACAGCUUUUGAUUUGUGUAUCAGUCUUGGAUCAUAUGGUUUUGGGGAGCAGCACUGUGAUUUGAUUCGUGGCUGUGGAGCUCUUAGUACAACAGAAGCCUGGUCCUCACUGUAGUUCCUAGUUGCUACUUAGAUAUGGGUAGAAGAACAGUGAAAACAGGGGGUACAAGGGAAAUAAUUCCAAUUUUGAACUUCUAGAUUCCCUAGAUUUUAAUGAAUCUCUUUACUGUUUUCCUUUUUAAAUUCUUAUGACCAAAAAAAGUAUAAAAUGUUCCUGAAGACAGCAAGGAUUGACCUUAUUUGUGGGGAAUUCUAUGUAUUUACAGAUGCAUCUCAGAUUGCUAGGAAGUGCAAGUGGUGAGCAUAUCUGUAAAAUAACAAGUGUUAAAACAUUAAAAAAAACCUUUCUGCUUCCAAAAUAUUUUAGAAGUUCUUUUAGAAAAACACUUGUAAAAUGCACUUAUAUGACUAUGUGGACAUCUGCUUCAUUUCUUCACUGAUUUUAUGGGAAGCUUUUAAAAAUAAUAAAAUAUGAGAAGUAGAAAUGUUGAUGACUUCUAAGCGACAAGUCAGUUCAUUUUCAUAAUAAUGCUUUGGACUGGUGCCAGAAUAGCUCAUAAUUCAGUGAUCUCUUAAAAUAUUCAAAUUUUUUUUUAAAAAAAGAACAUUAGUUGCAAUUAUUUUUGGAAGUACUUCUGAAAUGGCUGCAUUUAAAGCAUCACCAGAGUGUCUCUCAUCCAUUCACAAUAACGGGAGCAUUGCACUGGUGAAAUUUUUGGUUGUUUUGAAAUUCCAAAAUGAACACCAUGUUGAUGUGUUGGGUUUUGUUUUUAAUAUAAAUACAUUUCAGUGAACCUGAAGUCAAAUUCAAUCAAUUUCUCCAGAUUUAUUCUUAUCAUCCCUGAGAAAUAAUCUAUAUGUUACAUGUUACUUUUUCAUUUUGUUUUGACAGUUCUGUUGUCCAUAAUUGUAACAGAUACUAAGUUGCUGAAAAUAACCCUGUGUAGGUGUAACUUUUUUUUUUUUUCUCAGAUUAAUUUCUGGAUCAAAUAUUCAAAUUUCCUAUUGAGUAAAACUCCUAUGUUCUAAAUAUCAGACUUCUCAGCAGCCAAAAAUUGCUAAAGGAAAAAAAAUUUGCUGAGGUACAAUACCAAUAUGAAUAGCCACAUAAUUCAUUUGUUGAAAAGAACACAUUUUACAAACAUUUGUGUUUUGACCAGUAGUCCAUGAAAUAUAGCAACAAGACCAGCAUAUUUUAUGAUGUGAUUUUAUGCAUCGAAUUCUGCAUUCUCAUCAAAACCCAUUUAUUACCUUUUCAAAUUAUAUUAUACAUUUUUCUUUAUGGAUAAGCAAACAAUAUAUAAAAUUAAUGUUCUAUAAAGUUAUAAACCUUUGCGCUUGUAAAGAAUAAAGGAGUCUAAAAUGUGGAGUUGCAAACAUUCACAUGGUAUUAAUUUGAUUGAAGGUUUACAUUCUUCUUCUUCUGCGGCUCUUAAAAUCUCUUGUCAAGCAGGUUGGCAGUCUUGGUUGCUCACUGUGCAGCUUUCUUGAUGCUCAACCUCUCCUGUCGUCUGCAAAAGAUACUCCCUACUUUGUGUUGCGCUUCACAGGUCCCACAUCACAUUAGUUUUUCACUAUGGAACCAGCAAUUCUUGUUUCUUCUGUAUGGGCUGGGGCAGCUCUUCAGCCGCUGUAAACUCUUAGAGCUCUAGCAAAGCUGGGAGACCUUUCUCACUAAGUCUAUUUAUUUUCAACAGGGAUCUGUUUUAUCUAGCAAAUUUAACUAGCAUCACACAUACUGACCUGCAUGCUUGCUUUUACAAACAAAUAACAGAAAAUGAGAAUCGAUUUCAAUUUUUUACAAUUAUAGUGAAAAAAAAAAUUAUGAAGCAAUAUAUGGGGUUCUUUUGCUAUGCACAGCUUAUUUAAUCUUCCAGCAAAUGUCUCCUCAGAAGCUUAUUUGAAAGGAUAAUUCUAAAAUUCUCAAGGUAAUUCAAAUGAUCAAACUUUAAUCAGUAGUUGUAUCCUGAACCUCUUAGGUGGGGGCAAAUUGAGAGCCCAGCAGCCUUCGUUGGUUGUGCGGGUUCCCAGAAAACUGGCUGGUUUGGCUGCUGAAUUCAGCUGGCUGCUGUGUGCACACAUCCACGUCCUGGCAGACCUUCAGAUCUGAAAAAGCCAGUUCCCGAUGCCUUCUCAGUACCAACAGGUCUGAAACCCAACUGAUGUGAGACUUGGGAUUUGAAAAUACUACAUACAACCAGAGCUUUUUUGCUACUGCAGGAAUCCUGACAAGAGAAUCUGAGAUGGAAAGAGGAACGGAGAUAAGGCUGCUCCCACCUACAAGAUUUUACAAGAUGAGAACAGUAACAGGCACUGGAUCUGCUCCAGUAGAAGGACCUGUAUGAAUACACGCAGAGUACGCACAGGACUGUAUUCUUCCCAAAGGAAAUUAAAAGGGAAUUGUAUUCUUUUCCUUUAGGGUUUUAAUUCCCCUUUUUCCACAAUCGCAAGUCUUAAUGUGAUUUGCCGAGUGCUGGAACUUCUCUAUGUGGAUACGGAGUCCCGUGGCUCCUAAAAGGGGAGAAAUAAGAGCUCCGAGAUCCUGCAGAGGAGGAGGCACCCUCACACAGAAGAGGAGCCGUGUUCCGAUGGCAGCUGCCCCGCUGCCCGACACGCCAGCCUGCCCCCGGCCCCGGGCUGCCCCCCGCCCCCCAGCGCUGCCCGGCGCUCGGAGCCACAGGCGCCCGGCAGAGCCCGGUGGAAGGCAGAGCUGCAGAGCAGCGCCCGCUCCCCCGAGACACCCCCGUAUCCCUCCCGGCUCCCCAGUUCAGGGCCAGGGGUUUAAGGAGCGCAGGCGAUCUCCGCCGGCGGCGUCUACAGCUAUGGACCGUCAGGACAAGGGGCAGGACAGACUGGACGGGACACACGGGGAGCGGACAGCGGGAAAAUAAAGGAUCCUCCUACCCUGAG